AGAAGACAGCCUCCCCAAGCUUCCUGCACCACGCCUGCUCACCCAUCUGCAUCCUCCCCACCCACCCGGCCUUGUUCCUGGUGGUAUGAGGGUUGGCGCCGGCAGUGGCACAGAAGGACAUUCUCUAAGGACAAUGCACCCCUAGUGCCUGCACCUGGGAGGACCGCACCCACAGCCCACGCUGGAAGGCCACGGGCAAGACUCCCUACCAGAAAGAGGAGACCAGAAAGAAAGGCAGUGGGCCGACCUGACGUUGCCACAGUGAGGACAGAACCCUGCGAGCCAUGGAGGCUGCAGGAACAAGUCUCCCUCUGGAUCCAAGGGAAGGGUUCCUCCAUGAACAAGCAGAUGGAGUAAUGACCUAAGAGAAUUCUUCCCUACCAAACGACACAGGAAAUAGAAAUUUAACAAAGCAGAACAUUGCUUCAUCAAUGAAAAUCUCUCAUGAAUACUGUCGAUCGAUAUUUUAUUUUUUCCAAGAAAUGCUUUAUUCCUAAGGAACCCAAAAGGCUUCCUGUUCAAACAAGGAGAGAUUACAGUAACACUUCUUUUCUUUAUACGAGGCCAUGUUGUUUUCAACAUGCUUCCUGCUGACCCUACCACGACCCUACCAUUUAGGCAACAAAGGGCUUGUAAA